rnacentral:lncRNA from 1 species
CAUCUUCGUUUUGUGAUGGAAGAUCAAACAGGAAAACUGAAUUCUAGCUAUUUCCAUUCAUCAAUCCAACUAAAUUAAAUUGAAUGCACUGUCAAAUAUUCUGUUUUCAUGGAAGCUAUUUGAUGAGUCUUACUUGGUGGUGGGGGUAAGGAGAAGGGGCUUCUGUAUUUGAGGAAUCCUCCCCAGGCCCCCAACACACACACGCACAGUCUAUAUGAGCUGUGGUAAGAGACAUGGUUGUUUCUCUCUUUAGAACCAGUCAUGUGACAUAGGCUCAUCCCAUGAAAUGUUCUUGUCUGAGACUUUGAACUUUAAAUCUCAAGAAGAAAAGUGACUGGUGAGAAAUUUUCCAGAGUGGUGGUAGAAGCAUCGGAGGAGACUUGAGUACCCAUUGGGGGUGCUCCUAAAAGAGCAUCCGAAUCACACUUUUCAGUGAUAUUACUUUAUAGUAAUUUAUCUUAGUCCAGGUGCAGUGCCUCACACCUGUAAUCCCAGCACUUUGGAAGGCUGAGCUGGGAGGAUUGCUUGAGGCUGGCAGUUCAAGACUUCUUCCAUUUUAAGGGGCCUUGUGAUUACAGCUGGUCCAUCUGGAUAUUCUAAGAUAUUCUCCCUAUUUUAAGGAAGAUGAAUAAGAAGAGGGAGCCUCUUCCAGGAAGAUAAAUGCCGAAAAAGCUACCUUUUCUCCAUCUGGGGACGGAUGAUACCAAAAUGAUGCCCCCUUCCAGGCUGAUAAGGAGAGAAAUCUGAAAUCUGAGGUGCAGUUGAUUUGAAUCCAGGAAAUCUAAGGAAAAAGUUCAAGCUCUUAAUCAUUUCAUACCCUUCUUGUUGCUAACUUAAACUUUUUUUUUAAAAAAGUUAAUCUUGUCUAUGAAGCAUGAAUCUAUAAUACUAGGGAAAAAACUGGCUAACUUGAAGAAAAAAUAAAUUGAAAUGAAAAGCAAUUAAUUCCUCUUAAUAUGAAUAAAGGAUGAUCUAAAUGCUUUUUGAGAAAUGAUUUCAAGUAAUGAAAUUUACAGGAAAAAAAAUCCUCUUUUCUGAAUAAGCAAUCAUGGUAUUAAUCCUAAGUUCUUUAAUCUUUAUAUUUACAUUUGUUCUUAAAGCUUGGUGUUUUCUACCAAAACCAUCUGUGUAUCUCUGUCUAUCUUCACGUGUUCUUUCUGUAUACAUUCAUGCAUGCGCACACACACAGAGAUUUCAUUAUUUAUUCAUAAAAUAGUUGAAAAUCACUGCUUUGGCCCUUUUAACUGUAUAUAAAUCUCUCAGUUCUCUAGUGCUUGGAAAGGAAGUAUUUAUUUUAUUUUAUUUUUAUUUUAUUUAUUUUGAGAUAGAGUCUCACUCUGUCGCCCAGGCUGGAGUGCAGUGGUGCAAUCCUGGCUCACUGCAGCCUUAAUCUCCAAGGCUCAAGCUGUCCUCCCACCUCAGCUUCCCUCGUAGCUGGGACCACAGGCAUGCCACCACACCCAGCUAAUUUUUGUGUUUUUUUGGAGAGAUGGGGUUUCCUCAUGUUGCCCACGGUGGUCUGGAACUCCUGGGUUCAAGUGACUGGCCCUACCUUGGCCUCCCAAAGUUCUAUGAUUAGAGGCGUGAGUCACCCUCCCUCGCCAGGAAGUAUGACAAACAGAAUGAGCCUGCAACCAGAGUCUUUGAUUCAAACCCUUGCCCACCAUUCACUGACUGUUUGAGCCUCAGUAUCUUUAUGUGGAACAUGAGGUCUAUAACAGAACUUAACAAACAGGAGAUAAUUAUUAAUGAGAUUAAAUGCAAUGAGGAAUGUCAGUGGUACCCUCUCUGUAGAGGAACUUAAGGAGUUGAGCCUCCAAGCUUCUUUCUUGAUAUGCUGAUGAAAGACAUAGCCUAGUUUAUGGUGGGUGCUGCUUAAAUUCCAGCCCUCUCUCUUUCAGUCAACAGGCUUGGACUCAAAAUAAGCCCCAUUCAGGCUGAUUUGCCUGCCUAUAUCAGUCACAAACUGCACCUCUUGCAAAAACAGCUUUCCCUCCAAUGUGUACUGGCCUUGAAGAAGACUGAGAUAUAGGGAAACAAAGAUCUUUAAAAUCAAGUUACUGAAAGGUCACUGAAAUAAUAUACAGUGAAAGAUGGAUGAUGCCAUCAUUGUAUAAAUAAAGUCAGUACAACCAUUAAAGAACUUACAAGUAUGGGUUUUUUCUUCUCUAUGGUUAUGAUCAUGGAUAGAAUAAUUUUGAUAUGACCAUGAUUAUAUUAUAUCUGGAUGGUUUAGAUGUCUUUCAGAAAAUUAAUAUUUAUUCUUUGGCAUUAUAUAAUUUCUUAAAUAAACAUGAAGAGAGAAAUGUUUUGAAUAACAAUUCUCUAGUCCUAAAUUUUCUAUACUUAGCAUGUAUUGUUUCUUUUUUAAUAACUUACAACAACUUUAUUUUAAAAUUAGUUUAGGCAAUGUUUUUUGAAAUGGCUUCUUUGAAGUCGCUUCUUGGAAUGAUUAUAGCCAUUGUGUAAAGCCAGCAAUAAAAGAAGGAUUUGAAAGUAGAGAGUAGAACAGUAGUUACCAAGGGCUGGAGGCAGGGGUAGAGGAGAUAUUGAUCAAAGGACACAAAAUUUCAUUUAGGAGGAAUAAGUUAAAGAGACGCACUGUCACAUGGUGACUACAGUUAAUAACAAUGUGUUGUGUUAUUGAAAAUCCAUGAGGGUAGAUUUUAAGUGUUCUGACCACAAAAAAAAGCAUGUGAGGUAACACAUACAUUAAUUAGCUCUAUGUAGCCAUUCUAUAAUGUAUACAUGUUUCAAAACAACAUGUACACAAUAAAUAUAUAUGAUUUUUUAUUUGCUAGUUAAGAAAAGCGUUUGACACUUCAAAAAAUAAAAUACUUUUGGCAUAUGAAGAGUCAUUUACAAUCACGCCCCAGACUUUGUUGUUAAUAUUAGCAGGGAUAGUCAUUGCUUAUAAGGUCUUCACAUGCUUAUAAAAGAAGUUUCACUAAAUCUAGUUAGCAUUGAGAAGUGUUGACAAGAAGAGUUGAAAAUAAACCUCAAGACAACUUUCUGAUUUAAAAUUCUAUUUCUUGGUGUGUGAAUGUUAUUUUUGAGGAAACAUACACUUUAUUGCAACAUAAUAAAUAAAUGAGAAAAUAAGACAAUGUUAUUUUACCCAAUAUAGCAGGGUGGUCUUUAAAUAAGUGCAUAAAUAGCCCAUGAGAUAGUUUGAAGCUUUCAGCUUUGUCACCCUGUUGGUCUAGUCAAAUGACUCACAUAUUAGCAAUUUGUUUGCAAAACAUCUUCUUCUUAUAGUUUCCAUUGGAUUACAUAAGAUUGUUUUAUCCUGAUAGAUAAUCUGGACUUUCUUCACCAAAAGAAGGUUAAUAUUCCUACAAAUUUUAAACCAAAACAUUAAAUUUUAUACUGAAAAUACAUCUUCCUUGAGGUCAAGACUGUAGGGGAAGGCAGAUUUUUGGUGUCCUUAUCCAAAUGAUAGCCUUGCAAACCAGGCUGUUUUCAUGAGAGGAUUUUCUUACUUUAUUUAAAUCUUCUCUGAGCGUAACAGGAAAUAAAUCUGGAGACUCCAGCUUCUGGAGCUUUUCCACAAAGAAGAUAAUCUUUCUGAUUUAAAGACACAAUAAACCCUUCUUUCUCCAUGUUCUUCAAAAUCCAUAGAGCUCAAAUAACCACUUCUUUUCAUUCGCUAUAGAACAGCAUUAUUUCCAAAAUUGCAUUUAAAUCAUCUACAUACAGAAGGUUAAAUUUGUUUAAAAAUGAAUAAUUACAUUCAUUUCUUUACAUUUGUACUCUGAAUAAUGUGGAAUUUAAACUAGGUGUGGUUACACUUUAGCUAUGAGACAUUGGGCCGGUCACUUAUUCUCUUCAGAGGAUUAAAAGGAUAAAAUAUUUUAAAAAAUAUCUAUCUAUCUAUCUAUCUAUCUAUCUAUCUAUCUAUCUAUAGAUAGAUACACACACACACACACACACACACACAUAGAGUUCUUAUACAAACCCUCAUUAAAUGUAAUCCAAGUUGUAGACCCACAGUACUGAUUUAGGUAGGCAAAAUAUCAAAUUAACAACAACAAAAAAAUACCAGACAUAAAAAAUGUGUCUCAUAUUCUGGACACAUCAUUAUUCUCUGAAAUAUCCACAGACCACUCUAAUCUGAGCACACCCUAGGUGGACCAGGAACACAAGUAAUGUGAAUGACUGCAAUAAUAAAAUGAGUAUGUUAAACUAUCAAUUACUUGGCUUUGAUUCUGUGCUUGAAUUAUAUUCAAUGAGCCUCUGCUGUGUGCCAGACAAUGUUCUGGGCAGCAGCGACACACUGGUGAACAGUCCUUGCCUAUAUGGAGCUUACAUUUUAGAAGGCAAAGACAGACCAAUAAAUAAGUCAGCAAACAAUUCGUCAAUAUAACUUCAAAUAAUAACAAAUACUUUGAAGAAAAUCAACUAGGGUCGUGCCUGAGGGCUUGGGAAUUAAAUGUACUUUAGUUUGGAAACCAGAGAAGUCAUGGCUGAGGGAUUUAUAUCUUCACUGACAACUGAAGACCCAGAAGAAACCAGCAAGGCAAAGGCUGGGAAUCAAUGUCUCCAGCUGUGUCCUUGAGGAAGCAGGAAAUGCAAACGGCUCUAAAGGAAGAAGGAGCUUACUUAUUUGCCAAACAGAAAGAAAGUUGAUGAGAGCAAUGAAACCGCAAAUUAAUUAAGAUCAAGAAAACACUAACACCAAAACUCAAAGGAUGUUGGAAGCUUGAAAGAAGACCUCAAAGACAAUAUUUGGGCAUAUUUUAAGAGCAUCAUCAAUACUCUGUAUGGCACCGAGGAUGACUUAUGGAAAAACAGAGUUAUCAAUGACUUUUUGUUGGAAAUUAUCCAAAAGAGUAAGAUUCUGCAAAGAAGUUUGUGAAUUUAUUUACCAGUUUAUUUUUAUUUCUAUUUUCAUUUUACGAUUGCCUGAGAGUGAUAUUUGAAAAGUGUUAUAUUCAUAUAUGUCUAAAUUUUUCAACAAGUAUCAAAUAAAGAUUCUAAGUUAUAAGAAAGCAUUGUGUCAGUUUAAUUGUAUGAUUUCUUAAAAUUAGCUCCACAUGAAUGAACGGUACAUCUAAAAUUGAUAAUUUGAUAAUUGUCUCAGAUUUGAGGAAAUACUAUCCUCCAUUAUAGACAAAGGCUAGAAGGACCUGGGAAUGGGGAGGGGGACUAUGUAACAGACAAAUAUUCCAAUCUCAGAUGAUUAUUCUUCCACUCUCCUUUUUUCUCUGAGUCUAAGCUCAUCUUUUACUGUCCCUCUGGACUUUAACAGGCACUCUGCUAUUAAUGCUUAAAUGGAGCAUCUACUUAAUUAGAUUACAGCAUUUACAGGACAUAAACCUUUGGGUACAUGUCAAAGACCCUGGACUUUAGGCCACAACCAAUGUAAGUGGAUGAUUUCCCAAUGAUAGCAUAUGCCUAGAAAGGUUUGGCUUUAUUUUCCGUGAGUUCUUAUCUAAUGCAAAAUAAACUUUGAAUUUAUAUUUCUUGAGUUUUCCAGCACACAAUGUUUUGCUUUUAUAACUUCUAUUAUUAAAAGAAGAAUAUUAUACUAUUUGUAAAUGUUUUUGAUGUGCAAAAUUUUAUACCUAUAGGUUGCAAAAUCUGUGCAUUGCACUAGAAAUUUUGCUGAGUUUUCAGCUCUUAGCCACAGCAUUUAAGUAGUACAAUUCAUUUCAUGUUUAACUUUAUUUAAAUAUCAUAGUGAGUAGACCAUUGGUUUUCAGAUUAUUUUAAAUUUCUUUGUAUAAUCUGAGUUGAUUUCCCAUUGUGUCUGCCAAAGUACUCUUCUUUCUUCUUGAGGACAGUGCACAUUUAGAAAUUACCUUUUUGAAACAUCUUGAAAACUGACUCUUCAAAAAUGACUUUCAAUACUUAAGAACAUGACAAAAAUAUAUUUAUAACAUAACUUUUAGUUACAUGUUAUGCCGUAUAUAAAACUAUGUACUUGUGAAUGUUCAAUACCUAUCCCCCUCCCCCCAAAACAGCAACUUGUUUUGUUGCAUUUGCUGAUUUAUAUAGUAUAAAUACUCCCACAUGUCCAGUUUCAAAGUACCAACUUGAUGUCACUGGACAUACAGUUAGGAAGGGUAUCAUUAUAAAGUAUUUUUACAGUAAAGAAGCAAUAAAUGUAAGCAACUACAAAAGCACACAUAAUAGUGAAAUGCAUUAAAAUAAUUGGGAAAUACUAAGUUUUGAGUAUUACUUCGUUUGCUUAUUUUGUAAUUUAUUUAAUUGUAAGUUUAUAUAAUCCAAUUUUUGGCAAUGGCUGUAUUUAACAACUGGUUUCCAAAUUUACAAAUGUACUCUUUUAAGCCUACAUGAACUGGGUGUAGUUCAGCACUCCUGUAUAUAUGAUAUUUGAUAUUGCCUAUUAUAACACAGGUUAAAAAUAGUGAAGCUUAAACUCAUUUGAGACUUCCUCCCUCCCUCUUUUCCUUCCUUCCUUCCUUUCCUUUCCCUCCUUCCUUCCUUCCUUCCCUCCAUCCUUAAGUUCUUACAGAUUUGCUAGACAUGUCAAAAUGAGUAGAAAUCAGUAUGAACAAAUUAAAUUAUAAAGUUACCUAUUUAUGCUAUUGAUAUGGGGACAGACAGAAAUAAGAAGGUUAUACUUUUCCAGGAUUCUAUAAUAUAUAUUUUCUUUAUAUGUCAGGAUAUAUGUACGUAUCCAGUUAUAUAUCUUGAUACAGUUAUUUUUGUUUCUAUGAAACCAUGUUGAAUGCUAUGAAAAGCCUUGAUAAUGGUAAGUUACUAAAAAAGGCUCUCUAGGUAUGAGCAAGAAGGCGAAAGACUGAGAUAAAAAAUACCAGCUGUUAGUUUCUGUAUUCUGAUUGCUUUGCUAGUAUCUUUAUAUUCUUGGACCACUUUAAAGAAAUAAAACCCAACAUUUUAAAUAAUGAAUUUCUGAGG